ensembl:lncRNA
CACAAUCUGGUGAUUUUAAUUUUGAUCGCCUGGUCAAGGUGUUGUCUGACUUCUCUGCUGUAUAGCUGGAUUUUUUUUUCCCUUGCAACCAACAGAUAAUCUGGGGGAGGAAGAAGCUUUAGAGCUAAGCAAACAUUCUGCUCUUCACUAUAAAGCAAAGAUCAGCAAUGUGGAAAAAUGGACUGAACUGAAGGGAAAAGGUGGCAGAAAAGUCAGCUAAGAGCCUAUUGCCGUAAACCAGAUAGUCUGGGAGCAUCUGAGCAGAAGAGCCGCUGAAACCAUGGAAAUCAACUGGACAUUAUCCUUCAGCCUCCAGAGUGUCAUUAUCAUUAAAUCUAUCCUUGGCCUUCUCCAGCAGAGUGGUCUGUCUCUUUUCUACAUAACCCGCAGAGUUGCUAUGAUGAUCUGCAACGGGGAAUGAACCAUGCCCAGACCACAAGGAAGGGAGGAGGCAUGCCAUGUGUGAGGUGAGGAGUGUCUGAGCCUGAAGUUCUCUGUCAAAUAUGGUGCAUUAUGUCGUGUUGAAUAUCCAUCAAUACAAUCCUUUGUUUACUAUGCUCUUUCCAUGUGCUGGUGGAUUUAAGGGAGGAAGACAGUCCAGUUGGAAACAUGACUGGACGAAUGAGGUUUGGUUAAGAGCUUGUUUAUAAGAGUUGGUCAGAGAGCAAGAUGCCUAUAGUCAAGUCUUUGCAGUGACUCUUAAGUGUUUUGUGGACCAACUGAUGUUCUUCAGGCUCAUUAGGGGUAUUAGGAUAAAGAUUCUUAGACUCCAAAACCUACUGAGUCAGAAUCUUGAGGGAGUGGCUCAGCAUUUUAAAUAUGUUUUCUCCUCUUCCCUCCCCUUUAUGUCCAUUGAAGUAGGAGAAUUGUUGGUUUCCAGAGGAGGCUUCAUGGAAGAAGAAGGAUCUGAGCCAGGUAUAGAGAGGAGCAGGAAGGACUUUCCAGGUACAGGAGAGCUGGCACAAAGCCAGAAAGUUGUGGAGCAAGAGUUGUGCAGGCAGUGUGCAAUUCGGAUGGAGCAAAUGGUAGUACCUGUUUGUUAAUAUGCACAGUAAGCCUAAAAAAGUGAUUGAGACAUGAUAGUGGAAAACCAAUCAACAGUUCUCUAUCACUUUGUUUGUUUGAUGAAAUACAUAGGACUUUUUGUAUUUAUCAGCACAACACAUUGUACUAAGCAUGUGAAGACUUUGAUACCACCUCUUAACUCAUCUUCUACCUGGCAAAACUCACGUUUUCAGGAAAUUAAAGCAAUCAGUGCCAUAAUCUUUUUUGUUGUGGUAUUCACAAAAAAAUUUAACAAGCAUGCAUACGAGCAAAUGAACUACUUAAAGUAUUAAAACAUUGACAUAUAUGAGGAAAACAAAGUAAAAAUAAGUUUUUCACAAUUAAAUUUUAUCUUUGACAAUGAGUUUUAGCUUUUUCUGUUAGGUGUCUAUUCUACUUCUACAAAAGCAAGAAUAUUCUCUGAAAGAACAUGCAUAAAUAAAUCCUGUUAUAUUAUAUUGUUAAAUAAUAAAAGAAGUGACCAGUUCUGACAUCUCAUUAAUAUGUGCAUGUCACUGCAUCAUUGCUUUGCAUUUGCUGUAAUCACAGAUUUGUUGGUGCCAUGAAUGUUUCUCAUAGUAUUCUUAUUCAUGUAAAAUGAAUAAUGUAAAAUGUAAAGUGAUGUAAAAUUUCCAUGUAAAAUGAUGGAAAUAAACUGCUCACUCUUCUU